ACAUGGGGCUCCCUGCCAAGCGGGAAGCCUGCUUGUGUUCCUGCUCUCGCUACGUCUCUGUCAAAUAAAUAAAUCUUAAAAAAAAAAAAAAAGAAGCAGCCCCGGACUCCACACACGUCAGCGAACAGUCCCGACCCCUCAGCCCGGUCCGGUCGAGACCUCGGGAGUCCUGCCCUCCCCAGCCCGAGCCCGGAGCCUCACAGAGUCGACGCGGAGAGCCCUGCCUGAGGUGGGUAAGGAGAGC